UACGUAGGGGGGCAAGCGUUGUCCGGAUUUAUUGGGCGUAAAGAGCGUGUAGGCGGCCGUACAGGUCAGCUGUGAAAACUCGAGGCUCAACCUCGAGACGUCGGUUGAAACCGUACGGCUAGAGUCCGGAAGAGGAGAGUGGAAUUCCCGGUGUAGCGGUGAAAUGCGCAGAUAUCGGGAAGAACACCCGUGGCGAAGGCGAUCACCUGGGGUUGUUCUGACGCUGAGGAGCGAAAGCUAGGGGAGCAAACGGG
rnacentral:rRNA from 1 species